GACGAACGCUGGCGGCGUGCCUAAUACAUGCAAGUCGAACGAGAGCGACCGGUGCUUGCACUGGUCAAUCUAGUGGCGAACGGGUGAGUAACACGUGGGUAACCUGCCCAUCAGAGGGGGAUAACAUUCGGAAACGGAUGCUAAAACCGCAUAGGUCUUUGAACCGCAUGGUUUGAAGAGGAAAAGAGGCGCAAGCUUCUGAUGAUGGAUGGACCCGCGGUGCAUUAGCUAGUUGGUGAGGUAACGGCUCACCAAGGCCGUGAUGCAUAGCCGACCUGAGAGGGUGAUCGGCCCAUUGGGACUGAGCACGGCCCAAACUCCUACGGGAGGCAGCAGUAGGGAAUCUUCCGCAAUGGACGCAAGUCUGACGGAGCAACGCCGCGUGAGUGAAGAAGGUUUUCGGAUCGUAAAACUCUGUUG
rnacentral:rRNA from 1 species